rnacentral:lncRNA from 1 species
AUCAUUUUAAUUUUAUAGAUUAAUCUACCAGUCAAUGUCACUUACAGAUACUGGCAUUCUGUCUCAGUGUGGAAUGUGACCCCAACUACUAACUGGAUAAUUGAGUUUGGAGGAGGCACUUCAUACAGAGAUACAGCAGUUAUUGAACUCAGAUAUACUAGUGAUAAUGAUUGGUCUACUAGUGUAAUACCUCUGGACCAGUAUCAAGAUCAACUAAGAAGAAGGAUACUGAGUGAUUGGGAGAGUUUAGGAACAGAAAAACAGCUUCAAAUAGUUCAAGAUCAUCUGCAAUUAC